UACGAAGGGAGCUAGCGUUGUUCGGAAUCACUGGGCGUAAAGCGCACGUAGGCGGAUGUGUCAGUCAGGGGUGAAAUCCCGGGGCUCAACCUCGGAACUGCCUUUGAUACAGCACAUCUUGAGUCCGAUAGAGGUGGGUGGAAUUCCUAGUGUAGAGGUGAAAUUCGUAGAUAUUAGGAAGAACACCGGUGGCGAAGGCGGCCCACUGGAUCGGUACUGACGCUGAGGUGCGAAAGCGUGGGGAGCAAACAGG
rnacentral:rRNA from 1 species